GUGUUCUCUUUCAACAGCACAUAUACUUAAACUGAAUUGACACAGGGAAGAUUAGCAUGGCCUCUGCACAAGAAGGGUAGCAAAUUCAUGAAGCCUUCUAUAUUUUU
ensembl:snRNA Gm22345 U6 spliceosomal RNA